rnacentral:rRNA from 1 species
GACGAACGCUGGCGGCGUGCUUAACACAUGCAAGUCGAACGGAAAGGCCCUGCUUUUGUGGGGUGCUCGAGUGGCGAACGGGUGAGUAACACGUGAGUAACCUGCCCUUGACUUUGGGAUAACUUCAGGAAACUGGGGCUAAUACCGGAUAGGAGCUCCUGCUGCAUGGUGGGGGUUCGAAAUUUUCGGCGGGUGGGGAUGGACUCGCGGCUUAUCAGCUUGUUGGUGGGGUAGUGGCUUACCAAGGCUUUGACGGGUAGCCGGCCUGAGAGGGUGACCGGCCACAUUGGGACUGAGAUACGGCCCAGACUCCUACGGGAGGCAGCAGUGGGGAAUAUUGCACAAUGGGCGGAAGCCUGAUGCAGCAACGCCGCGUGCGGGAUGACGGCCUUCGGGUUGUAAACCGCUUUCGCCUGUGACGAAGCGUGAGUGACGGUAAUGGGUAAAGAAGCACCGGCUAACUACGUG